rnacentral:rRNA from 1 species
UACGUAGGAGACGAGCGUUGUCCGGAGUUACUGGGCGUAAAGGGUGCGCAGGCGGCCUCGCGCGUCGCGAGUGAAAUCUCCCGGCUCAACUGGGGAGGGUGGUCGCGAGACGGCGGGGCUUGAGGCUCGGUGAGGGGCGUGGAAUUCCGGGUGGAGCGGUGAAAUGCGUAGAGAUCCGGAGGAACACCGACGGCGUAGGCAGCGCCCUAGACGAGACCUGACGCUCAGGCACGAAAGCGCGGGGAGCGAACAGG